CAACGUUUAUUCAGAAAUGGCAACCGUCGGCAUGGGACGGAGGUUGCAACGGCUCAAAUGGACUACAGUUUGUGAAAGUUGGAAAAGUUCCUCGAAAAAGUUUGGUUUUCAGUGUUCACUUUCCAUGCCUCUAGCAAUUAAAGUGAUUUAGAAACAACAUGAAAAACUCAAAAUUUUUUGUUUCGUUAAACAGAUUAACGUCACGUGAUGUUGGCCAAUGGCGACUUGCAAGUUUUGUCUGCGCAUCAAGGCGACGAGAAUCAUUUGUAUCAUUGUCGAGUUCUCGUCCAGCCCAUCAGGCAAACAAUGACCAGUUUCACUGCUGGACGAAUCAUCCUCAGUCAAGAAUCCAGGACAAAGAUGGCACAAGUCAUUGUAGAAACUGUGAAUCGAAUUCGAAGUUUGGCGUGGACGAGAUGCCGUUUUACCUUGUGUUUUUCACGGAUAUCUUCCGCAUAAAAUCAAAUGGUACAAAAGUCAAACGAUUCAGUAUGGCAAUUUGUUGUUGCCACUGGUGACAUCAGCUGCCACGCAAGAGCAUCAUGAUGGAGUGCUGGGACUUGGGCGUCAUCGCCUCAUUGGUGGCACUUUACUCAUCGCUUCCGUCGUCACCGAAGAUCAGGGCAGUUACAUUUGUUUUGUCAACCGUUCCAUUGGAUUAGUCGAAUCACGUACCGAACUCGUUUCUCGUGUCAAAUUACAAGUCAGAAACGUCGAACGUCGUCGUCGCCGCAUAGAAUGCACAGCACAUUUAAGUCGCCGAUCCAGAAACGUCCGUCACCAUCACGUGUCAUUUCUCCGGCCGGUUGUCAGUUGGCUCAAAGAUGGCCAGCGCUUCUUGGUGGGUAAUAGUGGUCGUGUUUCUUCUUCAUCCGGCGACGACGGCUACACCGAUAUGGUCCAGUUAUCCAUUUCGUCCGUCCAACGUGAAGAUGAGGGAAUAUACCAAUGCCUGGCAUCCAAUGACGAAGGAGAUUGGGCCCAAGCAUCGGCCCAGCUGGCCAUUGGAGCAUUUCCUCCUCAUUUGAAAGAAACGUUCAGUCGGCAAGUUGUACAUCCGGGAAGUUCAGUCUCGUUGAAAUGUUUAGCCUCUGGCACUCCGCUGCCUCAUUUCACUUGGACGCUGGACGGGUUUCCGUUAUCGCCCGUUUCCGAACGAUAUUUCCUCGGCCAGCAGCAAAAAACGGGUCACGACGAUCUUGUAGUGGCUCAUCUCAACAUAACCCACGUCCGAGUCGAAGAUGGAGGCAAUUACAAAUGUGUAGCGGAGAAUCGAGUGGGUCGCGUAGAGCAUUCAGCCAAUUUGCAUAUUUACUUCAAUUCAAUGGCAGUUUGACGAUCGAUCCGUUGGAUAAGAGCAGCGACGCCGGUCUUUAUAGUUGCGAGGCGCGUGGCCAGAACGGACUCUCGGCUCGCCAGUCACUUCAACUCAACAUCCUCGCUUUGCGAAAAUAUUGACUCGGCGCCUUUUUCUUUUCCCCCUCCGCCCUGUAAACUUGCUCGGUCGCUGUGUAUACUCUUUGAUGAUGAGAAAGUCCACAGCGCUUUUCUAUCCGGUCUGGAAGCAGAAAAAAAAUUUUAAAAAAAGGAAGCAAUGAAAGCAAAUGAGACAGACCGACUAUAUCGAUCCAGCAGCCAGAAGCCAAUUUAAGUCUUUCCCCUUUUAUUUUUGUGAAAAACAAGAAAAAGGAGAUGAGUUAAGUGGGUAGGAAGGAUAAAUUUAGAAAUUUCUCGACGUUUUUUUUUUUGUUGUUGCUUCCGGUCGCCGGAAUUUCGUAAAAAAAACAAACAAAAAACACAAAAAAAAAACGAUAUUGGAUACAGACGCGCCUCAAUGAGCGAUUCAUGACAAUCACCAUGACAAUGAGCGAUUCGGCCAUGUUGAAUGCCGGCGAGCGAUUGGCUCUUCAAUGCGCCGUAGUUAAAGGUGGAUUGCCGUUGUUCGUCAGCUGGUCGAAAGAUGGCCAAGUGAUUGCACCGACAACUGCAACGACGACGACUAACGUCCGUUUGGUGAACGAAUUCACAGCCACGUUGACGAUUGAAUCGUUGACUGAACAACAUGGUGGAUGGUACGUGUACGUCUGCCGCAAAUAUAUAAUUUCAGUUACAAUAGUGCAAUAGAAAAAAAGUGGUGGAAAUAUUUAUCAGGCUUUAGAGCAGCAUUAGCCUUUGCUAUAUCUCCACAUCAUGUAAAUGGAAAAUCUCUGGAACUUCUUGUUGAGAAAUGAAGCCAUUGUGCAUAUUGCAUCAACCAAGGGCGAAAUGUUACCACAUAUAGGCCAAUGUUACAACUCACUUAUGGUGAUUGUCCAUUCACAUGAAGUCUGUAUGUUGGUACAGUUUAUCAACAGGCAUAAGAGCAUGUUCGGGCAAUAAUUGUGGGAUAGUUUAGGUAGAUUCUUUGCUGCGUCAUAGCUCGGGAGUCGUAACGGGCAAUAUCCUUGUGCAUUAAGUUGGUGAACUCUUGUGUUCCAUUGGGUAAUGCUAUCAAAUCUUAAUGUGCUAUUUGUGAAAGAUUUUAUUAUUCUGUAUGUUUUAAAGGAAAAUAUUUCAAAUUGAUUUAUUUGCAUGUUACGGAGUUGUAUUUUUCUGAUCUGUGGAGCCUGACAUUUUCCACAAUUUCUAUCGGCGAACAAAAUGUCUUUUAGGAUUGGUAGCAGCUUACGAAGCAGUAGGUUCCAACAUCAUCUAACGUCUGCUUUAGUAAUGGCAGGGAUGUGAAUGAUAAUUUGUGAAAUCAAACAACUUAAGCAGGUGCCUAGCUCAACAACUCCUAUGAAAUCUAGAUUGGUGGUGGUAGUUAUAGGGCGCCUGUUCAGGCAACAGUUUCGUUUUUUAAUCCGCCAAGGAUUUAUGCGUUAUUGCGUCUACUGUGUAGCCUGAGUAGCAUACGCAAGGGGGCGUUUAUCUACAUUCCUGAUCACCAAGCAGUUACAAAUAUGUUCUACACUGAUAAGCAUCCGAGGCAAAGGGCGAGCUGAACUAGUCUAUUGCCCCUCAACUCCAGAGGGCACUAGUUUACAGCAACUCGGGCUCACCCUUUGGAGAGUGGAUUCUCAUUUCUUCUUCAUACCAGCGAGCAGAUUUGAGGUUUAAAAUUGUUUUAGGUUGUUAAGCAAGUCUGACUUUCUACGAUGUACAUGGCCGCCAAACUUUGUCGUUAUGUCUGACUGUUAAUCAGUAAGAAAAACGUCGAAUUAUUGACGAUACGUUUGUCAAAAUGGCAAAUACAACGCCUAACGAUUUAAAUCUAACUUGGGAUAAUCUACUUCUCGGACAAGGUACUUUGAGACCGGAUCUAAUUGAGUCCGCUUUCCAUAUGGCUUCUUCGCACACGGUUGCCAUGAAGACUCGUCAUAACGAUUCCGAAAUGGUUCGUCAAUUUCGCAUUCACGGCCGUGUAGUAGAACCUAUUAAAGACUUCCUUAAAGAUGAAGUAAGAGCCUUAGGUCGUGAGCUGGGUUCCUGCACAAUUACUGGAACGUUACCCGUUUCCUGGUCCCGGUUUGUCAAUUUGAAUCAUUUACGCCAAAGAGCCGUUCUUGGAAGCUAAUUUCGAUGAGACGCAAGUGCUGAUUCGUUCGAUGGUCCAUUAUGCCAACAUAGCAGCCAAGGAACAUGCCUUGCUCAAUCGGAUUGAAAUCGUGACGUCGGAAGAAGAACGUCUUCUUCUGGGAGAACUGUCUAGUCGCAACCAGUAUGUUGCCACGCUACUGCCUAUUCGCACUGUCGGUGUUCAGGUAGAUGAUAGGUGCCACCGUAUCUACGCCAAGGUUUUUUUUUUCUCUUGUCUAGAUCUUUUAAUGGCCAGUGGGUCCUUGUGAUCAUGGCCAAUGGCUUGAGCCGGAUACCAACGACUAUGGCACCUGUCGCACUUCGCCUUGCCCAGUAAGCAAAUGCAACGGUCGCCAGAUCUACUGGAAGUCAACACUAAAUUCUGAAGGUGGCUGUUAUAAAUCGUUCACACGUGGGCCUUGCAGGCGAAGUAGCUAUUUCCUCGUUGAAGAAUAUGGCACUCGAAGAGGUCGAUGUGUUUCUCAAUUUGGAUCAUCCUAUGAAUCCUAUGUCCUUCCGUCACGCUAUCCCAGGAUGAGAAACCCUUACGACAUGAUGUACUCUAACAACGCGAUGAGCCCGUGAUCGAAAUUUGGCAUGGAUCCGCCGUUUGGCAUGCAGGAAGAAUAGCGGAGACGACUACCCUGACAUUCUUAGUUUCGAUUACUGAACUAGAAACAGUUUUACAGAACCAUUCACAUGGUUUUGUCUCUAUUAUUUCAUUUUAAAAAUGCGAUUGCAAAUUUUCUAUUGUGACGUAUGGCGGAUAAAAAACAACCUUAACUAGUUUUAAUGCAUGAAUUCGUUAGCCAAUAAUAUGUGUAUGAAGAAAAUGUUUUCACUUUGAAACAGAGUCAUGGAACCCAUCGGUUUCCAUGACUCUGCUUUGAAAGUUUGAACAGGGAUUUCUGUUUUACCUUUCUGCGAUGCGGCAACACAGCAUUGCAUGUCGAUCUGCGAACGUUUGACAACUCGCUGGUAUUGCAAUAGGUUAAUAGUUUUGUGUCAAGUAAAUUUCAAGUGCGAGUAACUGCUGGAAGAUUGCAAGCGAAAUCUGCAUGUGUCGUGUCAUUGUUCUAACUGUUGGAGACUUGUUUCGUUUUGAUUAGGCAUUCAUGUUUGGGAACAAUACCUGAAGUUGGAUAUCGCCUAGUGAUAUUUACAUAUUAAGUUCUAUUUUAAGACACUUGGGGCGAUACGUUUCGCAACAAAGAUCUAUACAGUACUCAAAAGAUGACCCACAAGCACUACGCCACCACGAUUGAGACAAGGUAAAACACAAAACUAUAAAGCGCCAUUUAUCAAUAAUGAAUGAAUUUCCUCAUUCUAACAAUAAUUUAAGAAAAUGUAAAUGUAUACUUAGCUGUGGUAAUUAUUUCGUUUACAUCGACUACACUUCAAUAAUUUACAAGUGGGAAAGUGUUGCCUAUAAGCAACAAGAAGGUAUUGUGCAUGUUUAUGAGCGAAUCAUGGCUUAAUGGGUGAGCAUCGGAUUGUACCGCUGGAUGUUUGUGGAUCAAAUACCAUCAAAGUUUUCUUCACCAUGACAUACUUGGAAUUUAUAUGCCAAUACGUGUAAUCCAUCAAGGACGCUGAAUUUCACAACACCUGAAUGGGAUUCGAACCCAAUGUAUAGAGAAUUCCAGUCCACCGCUCUACCAUUGUGCUAUGAGACAUAUUACUGAGAAAUCUAAGUCUUCAACACAUUAAGGGGGGGUUGCCAGGAAGGUAUCGCAUCCGCCUAGCAGCUCCAAGGUCCGUGGUUCGAUUCCACGGAGGUUCCCGAUGUCCUGGGCUUCCAAUCUUCCACGUCUGCCAGUCGGGUCGAGAAACUUCCCCAUUACGAAGUAAUGGGACGGAUAUUUUGGCGAUGU